AUUGAACGCUGGCGGCAGGCCUAACACAUGCAAGUCGAACGAGUGGCGGACGGGUGAGUAAUGUCUGGGAAACUGCCUGAUGGAGGGGGAUAACUACUGGAAACGGUAGCUAAUACCGCAUACCAUCAGAUGUGCCCAGAUGGGAGUAGCUAGUUGGUGGGGUAAAGGCUCCCCAAGGCUACGAUCCCUAGCUGGUCUGAGAGGAUGACCAGCCACCCUUGAACUGAGACACGGUCCAGCCUCCUACGGGAGGCAGCAGUGGGGAAUGUGUCACAAUGGGCGCAAGCCUGAUGCAGCCAUGCCGCGUGUAUGAAGAAGGCCUUCGGGUUGUAAAGUACUUUCAGCGGGGAGGCGUUACCCGCAGAAGAAGCACCGGCUAACUCCGUGCCAGCCGCCGCGGUAAUAC
rnacentral:rRNA from 1 species